GACGAACGCUGGCGGCGUGCUUAACACAUGCAAGUCGAACGGAAAGGCCCUGCUUUUGUGGGGUGCUCGAGUGGCGAACGGGUGAGUAACACGUGAGUAACCUGCCCUUGACUUUGGGAUAACUUCAGGAAACUGGGGCUAAUACCGGAUAGGAGCUCCUGCUGCAUGGUGGGGGUUGGAAAGUUUCGGCGGUUGGGGAUGGACUCGCGGCUUAUCAGCUUGUUGGUGGGGUAGUGGCUUACCAAGGCUUUGACGGGUAGCCGGCCUGAGAGGGUGACCGGCCACAUUGGGAAUGAGAUAAGGCCCGGACUCCUACGGGAGGCAGCAGGGGGGAAGAUGGCACAAGGGGCGGAAGCCGGAUGCAGCAACGCCGCGUGCGGGAGGACGGCCUUCGGGUUGGAAACCGCUUGCGCCUGUGACGAAGCGUGAGUGACGGUAAUGGGUAAAGAAGCACCGGCUAACUACGUG
rnacentral:rRNA from 1 species